rnacentral:rRNA from 1 species
UAUCUCUGUAGAGUCUGCAUAUCAAUAAGCGGAGGAAAAGAAACUAACAAGGAUUCCCUUAGUAACGGCGAGUGAAGCGGGAAGAGCUCAAAUUUGAAAUCUUCAAGGUUCUACCUUGACGAAUUGUAGUUUAAAGAAGUGUUUUCUGUUAGAUGAGUUAGGCUAAAAGUUCCUUUGGAAUAGGGACAUCAUAGAGGGUGAGAAUCCCGUAUUUGGUUAUUCAUUCUAGCGUUGUGAUACACUUUCAAAGAGUCGGAUUGUUUGGGAAUGCAGUCCAAAAUGGGUGGUAAAUUUCAUCUAAAGCUAAAUAUUGGCGAGAGACCGAUAGCGAACAAGUACCGUGAGGGAAAGAUGAAAAGAACUUUGAAAAGAGAGUUAAACAGUACGUGAAAUUGUCAAAAGGGAAGCGUUUGACACCAGUGUUGUUUUUCCGAAAAUCAAUUACGAAUGGCUUGAUUUUGUGUUGUAUUGACCAUAUCAGCUUUCUUCACUUUUUUCGAGUCUUUCUUAAUGCACUUUUCGGUUAACAAGUCAACAUCAAUUUCUUUUGUUGUAAAAGAGUAUUCGGAAGGUGGCUUUCUUUUCGGAGAAAGUGUUUAUAGCCCUAUACUUCUACAAUCGGAGAGAUUGAGGUCUGCAGCGUAGAUCCUUCGGGGUUAGAUACAUUUGUGCUAAGUUGUAGCUUUUCAUAGACAACUUGUUGACUAUGUUUAGUCAUGCGGCUUACUCGCUUAUGCUAUUUUACCUACGCUUAGGAUGUUGACUGAUAUGUAGUCGU